rnacentral:rRNA from 1 species
CAGUAGCCGCGGUAAUACGAAGGGGGCUAGCGUUGUUCGGAUUUACUGGGCGUAAAGGGCGCGUAGGCGGACUGAUAAGUCAGGGGUGAAAUCCCAAGGCUCAACCUUGGAACUGCCUUUGAUACUGGUUGUCUUGAGUUCGAGAGAGGUAAGUGGAACUGCGAGUGUAGAGGUGAAAUUCGUAGAUAUUCGCAAGAACACCAGUGGCGAAGGCGGCUUACUGGCUCGAAACUGACGCUGAGGCGCGAAAGCGUGGGGAGCAAACAGGAUUAGAUACCCGUGUAGUCCCUGUCUCUUAUAC